CAAGAAAACAAAAGGACAGAGCCUCAUUUGGUGUAAACCAGCCUCCCCAUUUUAACUCCAUGGAAACUAUACAAAGGAUCUAAUCCCUGGUCUCGUGCUGAGCAUACCAAGGCUCUAGCCAGUGCUGACACCCUGUUCUCCUGUAAAUGAAAGCAGGUUGGGUCUUAACUCCAGAGAUAGGCUGAAGAGCCCCAACCUGUUCCCACACGGGAGGUGCCCAAGCCCUCUAAUUAUCUUGGUGGCUUUCAUCUGAUCCUGCUCUUUACUGGUGAAGUUGAAGUUUCAUGGUUUAAAAAUACACAAAACUAAGUGUGACAGAUGGCAGCAGCAGGGCAGUCUGAAACAAUAGCAUCUGACAUGGAAGCGUCAAUGAAGCAAAGGUGUUUCAGUGAAUUCUUCAGUGCAAAAAAAAAUG
ensembl:lncRNA